UUACGGUCAUAUCAAGCUGAAACACUGGAUCUUGUUAGAUCACCGAAUUUAAGCAACUUUGAACUUGUUCAGCACCUCGAUGGGUGACCGUUUGAGAAUACCGGGUGCUGUAA